rnacentral:rRNA from 1 species
GAUGAACGCUGGCGGCGUGCCUAAUACAUGCAAGUCGAGCGAAUGGAUAAGAGCUUGCUCUUAUGAAGUUAGCGGCGGACGGGUGAGUAACACGUGGGUAACCUGCCCAUAAGACUGGGAUAACUCCGGGAAACGGGGGCUAAUACCAGAUAACAUCUUGAACCGCAUGGUUCGAAAUGGCAAGGCGGCUUCGGCUGUCACUUAUGGAUGGACCCGGGUCGCAUUAGCUAGUUGGGGAGGUAACGGCUCACCAAGGCAACGAUGCGUAGCCGACCUGGGAGGGUGAACGGCCACCAUGGGACUGAGACACGGCCCAGACUCCUACGGGAGGCAGCAGUAGGGAAUCUUCCGCAAUGGACGAAAGUCUGACGGAGCAACGCCGCGUGAGUGAUGAAGGCUUUCGGGUCGUAAAACUCUGUUGUUAGGGAAGAACAAGUGCUAGUUGAAUAAGCUGGCACCUUGACGGUACCUAACCAGAAAGCCACGGCUAACUACGUGCCAGCCGCCGCCGUAA